GACGAACGCUGGCGGCGUGCUUAACACAUGCAAGUCGAGCGGUAAGGCCCUUUCGGGGGUACACGAGCGGCGAACGGGUGAGUAACACGUGGGUGACCUGCCCUCAGCUCUGGGAUAAGCCUGGGAAACCGGGUCUAAUACUGGAUAUGACUCCAUGACGCAUGUUGUGGGGUGGAAAGCCUUGUGCGGCUGAGGAUGGGCCCGCGGCCUAUCAGCUUGUUGGUGGGGUGANGGCCUACCAAGGCGACGACGGGUAGCCGGCCUGAGAGGGCGACCGGCCACACUGGGACUGAGACACGGCCCAGACUCCUACGGGAGGCAGCAGUGGGGAAUCUUGCGCAAUGGGCGAAUGCCUGACGCAGCGACGCCGCGUGAGGGAUGACGGCCU
rnacentral:rRNA from 1 species